AGGAAUAUACUGCUGUUAUAUUACCCACAAGAGAUUUAGCCACUGUUUGAUGUCAAUCCACAGUUAAGUAGCAGUUCACUUUGCACUGGCUGGGGAGAGGAAUAUACUGCUGUUAUAUUACCCACAAGAGAUUUAGCCACUGUUUGAUGUCAAUCCACAGAGCUAUGGUGGCCAGUCCAUGUUGGGCUUGAAUAAACCUUCUCCGGUGAAUGAAGUAGCGCGUGUCCUUGUCUUCCUUACACACAACGCAGAGGCCAGUAACAGCGGGCGAAAGCAGACCGGUUACA
rnacentral:lncRNA from 1 species